rnacentral:rRNA from 1 species
UACGUAGGGGGCAAGCGUUGUCCGGAUUUAUUGGGCGUAAAGAGCGUGUAGGCGGCCAGAUAGGUCCGUUGUGAAAACUCGAGGCUCAACCUCGAGACGCCGAUGGAAACCAUCUGGCUAGAGUCCGGAAGAGGAGAGUGGAAUUCCUGGUGUAGCGGUGAAAUGCGCAGAUAUCAGGAAGAACACCCGUGGCGAAGGCGGUUCUCUGGGACGGUACUGACGCUGAGACGCGAAAGCGUGGGGAGCGAACAGG